rnacentral:rRNA from 1 species
UACAGGGGGGCAAGCGUUGUUCGGAAUUACUGGGCGUAAAGGGCUCGUAGGCGGCCGGCUAAGUCCGACGUGAAAUCCCCAGGCUUAACCUGGGAACUGCGUCGGAUACUGGCGGGCUUGAAUCCGGGAGAGGGAUGCGGAAUUCCAGGUGUAGCGGUGAAAUGCGUAGAUAUCUGGAGGAACACCGGUGGCGAAGGCGGCCAUCUGGACCGCAACUGACGCUGAGGCG